rnacentral:rRNA from 1 species
GAUGAACGCUGGCGGCGUGCCUAACACUUGCAAGUCGAGCGAUCUUCUUCGGAAGAGAGCGGCGGACGGGUGAGUAACGCGUGGGUAACCUGCCUCAUACACAUGGAUAACAUACCGAAAGGUAUGCUAAUACAAGAUGAUAUAAGAGAUUCGCAUGGACUUCUUAUCAAAGCUCCGGCGGUAUGAGAUGGACCCGCGUCUGAUUAGCUAGUUGGUAAGGUAACGGCUUACCAAGGCGACGAUCAGUAGCCGACCUGAGAGGGUGAUCGGCCACAUUGGAACUGAGACACGGUCCAAACUCCUACGGGAGGCAGCAGUGGGGAAUAUUGCACAAUGGGCGAAAGCCUGAUGCAGCAACGCCGCGCGAGCGAUGAAGGCCUUCGGGUCGUAAAGCUCUGUCCUCAAGGAAGAUAAUGACGGUACUUGAGGAGGAAGCCCCGGCUAACUACGUGCCAGCCGCCGCAGUAAUAC